UUACUGUGGCACUCAGCCAAGAGACUUAAUUUCCUUCAGCAAUGCAACAUAUUUACAAGUGACAGAGCGAAAUGAAACACUUUUCAACAGCAGUUCUGAAGCUCACUGCUCUUCAGAUGUAGUCAUGCUGACGGUGGUGUUCAGUGCUGUGAUUGUGAUUCUCAUCGGUAUUCUUCUAGUCUUGCUGAAGAGG